rnacentral:misc_RNA from 1 species
CAGAGUUGCAAAGCUCAAACCAUUGUGAACGUUACCUUUACCGUUGCUUCGGCGGGCGGCCUGGGUCCUCGGACCCCGCGCCCCUGGGCCCCUCGGGGCGCCCGCCGGAGGUAAACCAAACUCUUGAAUUGUAUGGCCUCUCUGAGUCUUCUGUACUGAAUAAGUCA